rnacentral:rRNA from 1 species
GACAGAGGGUGCAAACGUUGUUCGGAAUUAUUGGGCGUAAAGAGCUCGUAGGCGGUCUGUCGCGUCGGAUGUGAAAACCCGGGGCUUAACCCCGGGCCUGCAUUCGAUACGGGCAGACUCGAGUGUGGUAGGGGAGACUGGAACUCCUGGUGUAGCGGUGAAAUGCGCAGAUAUCAGGAAGAACACCGGUGGCGAAGGCGGGUCUCUGGGCCACUACUGACGCUGAGGAGCGAAAGCGUGGGGAGCGAACAGG